rnacentral:rRNA from 1 species
AACGAACGCUGGCGGCAUGCCUAACACAUGCAAGUCGAACGAGACCUUCGGGUCUAUUGGCGCACGGGUUCGUAACGCGUGGGAACCUGCCCUUAGGUUCGGAAUAACUCCCCGAAAGGGGUGCUAAUACCGGACAAUGUCUUCGGACCAAAGAUUUAUCGCCUUUGGAUGGGCCCGCGUUGGAUUAGCUAGUUGGUAGGGUAAAAGCCUACCAAGGCGACGAUGCAUAGCUGGUCUGAGAGGAUGAUCAGCCACACUGGGACUGGGAAACGGCCCAGAAUCCUACGGGAGGCAGCAGUGGGGAAUAUAGGACAAUGGGCGAAAGCAUGAUCCAGCAAUGCCGCGUGAGUGAUGAAAGCCUUAGGGUUGAAAAGCUCUAUUACCCGGGAUGAUAAUGACAGUACCGGGAGAAUAAGCUCCGGCUAACUCCGUG